rnacentral:rRNA from 1 species
AUUGAACGCUGGCGUCCGGCCUAACACAUGCAAGUCGAACGAGUGGCGGACGGGUGAGUAAUGUCUGGGAAACUGCCUGAUGGAGGGGGCUAACUACUGGAAACGGUAGCUAAUACCGCAUACCAUCGGAUGUGCCCAGAUGGGAUUAGCUAGUAGGUGGGGUAACGGCUCACCUAGGCGACGAUCCCUAGCUGGUCUGAGAGGAUGACCAGCCACACGGGAACUGAGACACGGUCCAGACUCCUACGGGAGGCAGCAGGGGGGAAUAUUGCACAAUGGGAGAAAGCCUGAUACAGCCAGGCCGCGUGUAUGAAGAAGGCCUUCGGGUUGGAAAGCACUUUCAGCGGGGAGGCGUUACCCGCAGAAGAAGCACCGGCUAACUCCGUGCCAGCAGCCGCGGUAAUAC